rnacentral:piRNA from 1 species
UUGAUUAUGAUACGGCUUCAAAUGAGAA